CGGAGGCGAAGCGAAAGCGAGUCUGAAUAGGGCGGGAGUAACUGGUAUAGCACCCGAAGCGGAGGCGAUCUAGCCAUGGCCAGGCUGAAGCAUCGGUAACGCGAUGUGGAGGGCCGAACCCAUUAACCUUGAGAAGUUAAGGGAUGAGCUGUGGUUAGGAGUGAAAGGCUAAUCAAGCCCCGUAAUAGCUGGUUCUCUCCGAAAUAUAUUUAGGUAUAGCGUCAAAUGCUGAUUACCGGGGGUAAAGCACUGAAAAGGCUAGGGUUCACACCAGAAUACCGAACCUUAUCAAACUCUGAAUACCGGUGAGAGAAAUUUGGCAGUCAGUCAGUGGGGGAUAAGCUUCAUUGGCGAGAGGGAAACACCCCAGACCAUCGGAUAAGGUCCCUAAGAUAGUGCUAAGUGGCAAGAAGGAGGUAAGUUUUCAUAGACAAUGGGGAUGUUGGCUUAGAGGCAGCCAUCAUUUAAAAAGUGCGUAAUAGCUUACCCAUCGAGAGAAUUUGCGCCGAAAAUGAUCGGGACUCAAGCACUACACCGAAUCCGUGGAAUUAGCAAUAAUUGGUAGGAGAGCGUUCCAACGGCGUUGAAGGUCGAGCGGCGAGCGAGGCUGGAGCUUUUGGAAGUGAGAAUCUAGGCAUGAGUAACGAAAAGCAUGGUUAAAAUCCAUGCCGCCGUAAGGAUAAGGUUUCCUGGGGAAGGUUCGUCCGCCCAGGGUUAGUCGGGAGCUAAGGCGAGGCCGUAAGGAGUAGUCGAUGCACAACGGGUUAAUAAUCCCGUACCGGCUGGGCAACGUUUGAUCUUUAUAUUGACGGAUGAGUGAAUGCUGGCGAGGUGAUGAACGUCCUCGUCCAAGGCAUCGUAAGGUGUCGACGGGACUCUGAGGCUACGGCCGAGGGGGAUCAGCAAUGGCUAAUCCCGGGAAAAUUUAUAAAGUUAGUUGUCCGGUUGCCCGUACCGCAAACCGACACAGGUAUCCGGGAUGAGUAUUCUAAGGCGCGUGAGUUAAAUCUCUCCAAGGAACUCGGCAAAAUGGCCCCGUAUCUUCGGUAGAAGGGGUGCCAACGCGAGUUGGUCUCAGUAAAGAGGCCCAACCGACUGUUUAUCAAAAACACAGCUCUCUGCCAAGUCGCAAGACAACGUAUAGGGAGUGACAUGUGACCAAUGCGGAAAGGUGAAAACUGCUUGUGAAAGCUUGUGGUCUAAGCCCCCGUGAAUGUCGGCCGUAACUAUAACGGUCCUAAGGUAGCGAAAUUCCUUGUCGGGUAAGUUCCGACCUGCACGAAUCAUGUAACGAGUUGGGUGCUGUCUCAGGGAGAUGCUCAGUGAAAUUGUAGUCGCGGUUAAGAUGCCGCGUACCCGCAGAAGGACGGAAAGACCCUAUGAACCUUUACUGUAAACUGAUAUUGUCGUUUGAUUUUUAAUACGUAGAAUAGCCGGGAGGCUUAGAUUCGGCACUCCAGGGUGCCGAUGAGCCGCAAUGUGAAAUACCGGUUUUUAACUAUUAGGCGUCUAACCGCAAACCGUAAGCCGGUUGCGGGACAGUGUUAGUGGGUCAGUUUGACUGGGGCGGUCUCCUCCUAAAAAGUAACGGAGGACUGCGAAGGUUCCCUCAGACCGGAUGGUAAUCGGUCGUCGAGGAUAUGGCUAAAAGGGAGCUUAACUGUGAGACUUACAAGUCGAGCAGAUGGGAAACCAGGCCCAAGUGAUCCGGCGAUAGCUCGUGGGAGCGUCGUCGCUUAUGGGACAAAAGGUACUCUAGGGAUAACAGGCUGAUUUCGCCCAAGCGUUCAUAGCGACGGCGAAGUUUGGCACCUCGAUGUCGGCUCAUCACAUCC
rnacentral:rRNA from 1 species